GGCCGCGGACCUGGUACCCCAGAGCAGCGAGCGGGUGGGGAGCAGCCGGGGCGAGAAUGAGCGCAAUCUUGCUAACCCCUGCGGAGGGAGCGCGCGGGCGCCAACGCGGGCGCGCGGGGGCGGGCCCUGGACCUGGACCUUGGGUUUCGGCCCUCCUCCGCGCCCCGCGGUCUCGCGGGCGAAGUUUCAGUCCUGAGUGUAAAGAAUAACCCCAAGCGCGUGGCUAAGUGCGAGCAGGCGCGUGUGACGUCGGGAGGCGCCGCGGCUCCUCGGCCGCCCCACUCGGUGGUCCCCUGUCUGGAUCCAAACUGCUGACUGGCUGACCCGAGUGGUCACAUUUGCCCUCUGGGGCUUUUGAAAACCUUAAAUCAAAAUUGCUUUUGAAUCUGACAACUCCUGAGGCUACUUUCGCGGCCUCGGGGCUGUUUCAUAUAAGGACGCGAGUUUUCCUGAUCAGGUCUGUCGGCCACGUUACGAUUUCCAAUUUGCGAUCCAUCAGUUACUUCCAUUGGGUCUUCAGCCCCCAGGGACUGUGGAUCCUAGACCCCGCGGAGAAGCCCGUGGACUGGAGCUGUGUCAGCUCUGAUGAAUUUACACUCAUUGGAAUAAUAAAAUAGAAGUAAGCAACCGUGCAUUAAAAAGCUAUGAAAAGAUGAAGAGAAUAUGCCUUCAAAUGGGAAGGAAUACUUAACUGUGAAUAAGACCUAGUUCAACAUGGAACUUCCUGGUGGCCAAGUCAGAAGAGAAGCACAGAACAAAAACGGAGGCACAGAGAGGUCAAUUGAUUGGUCUAAUGACACAGAUCUAGCAAGUGGUGGAACCAGGACUGAAUCCAGAGAAUCUGGAAGACUACUCUGCCAAGACAUCUCAAAAAGUGUGUGUCCGGAAUUGGUGGGUUCUUGGUCUCACUGAC
rnacentral:lncRNA from 1 species